UGUCGGUCUGCUUUUGAGACUACAUCGCCAAAAGAGAGAUAUGAUCCCAUCAGCGAAGAUGCACUGGUACUUGCAAGCAACGAGAAAGAUGAAAAGAACACUAGAAGGAAAGCCGCGGGAGAUAAGAAAGCGAAACCCGAUACAUCUUUGAGCACUGAUAAUAGCAGAGACAAUCCUGUGAUAUCUGAGUACAUUUUAUCGGAUGAGGUCAAUGUUACUACUAAGGAAGUAUUGCCUGCUUCGGUUUUCUCUGCACAGACAUCUUCCUCUCAAAUUCCUUCUGUCAUCGAAUCUUCUGCAGAGGGGCUACCUGGUCCAGUAUUUGUGACUGAGAGCAAGAUCCACUCGAAGCAUCAGGAAGAUGCAGAAGGGUUAUCUGGCCCAGUAUUCAAAAUUGACACGGAGUCCGAGGAAGAUGCAGACGGGUU
rnacentral:rRNA from 1 species